ACAAAAGUUGGCUUGCGUUAGCUAGCGUUAGCUUGUUGGCUUGCGUUAGCUUGUUAGCUAACGAUAGCGUUAAAGUUACAGGGAGUCUAGAUUCUAGUUUUUUUGUGAACGUUAUGAAAGCUUAGAUGUUGGACUCGGGAGUCUUUAUGAAAACGUAGGCCAUUUCAGAUGUGUUUAAACCUCAUUUCUUUCUGGGAGGGAGGCUGAUUUCACAUUGUUCACCAUUCCGGGAUAACGUUAGCUGCUAAUGGUUUUAAAUUAUGAACGACGUUAGCAAGGUAAUCAGCUGCCGUAUGCUCAAACACAUUCGUCGUAGCUCGACAUUCUCUGCUGGCAGUAACAAAAAAGCUUUGGGACUCAUGCUUAUAUUUUGUACACGUUAGAAACCAGCAAACAGGCCUACUUUUCAAUCUAAAAAGUCCGGUUUCCAGACGUGUUUCCUGGUGACUUUUUAGAUUGAAUAGUAGAGAUUACUCUAACUUUUAAGAAAUAUAAAUGCACGAAGGGCACGAAGCUACAGUAUUUGUUUUCAUGUAGAAAUACUAUCGUCUACGAGUUCAUUUAAUGAUAUUGAACGUUCCUUGGAGUAAGAUUUGACUGAGAAGAGGCAAAAUAGAAGUGCUAGUUGACUUCAUGUAGCAGCUAUGUCCUUGCUUUGCCUUGUCACAGACCAGACACUUUGUUGUGAAUGUUUAGAUAUGGGAAGAGGAGCUAAAAUGAACAGCCCCAUAUUCUGUGGAUCCCAAUAAAAUGCAUUUUUAAUGGGGUGUAUUAUUGGUUAUGAUAAAUAUUUGGCCAUUUCUUUCUGAUGAUAAAAGUAAUGCAUAUUUAUGUAUCUGUGUUACAGGUCAUUCACAAGUGGCCACAGUCUGGUUUGGGGGUCUACGCUUUCUCGUCCUGUCCUGCCACCCAAGUAAAGUCAUUCACAAGUGGCUCCAGUCUGGUUUGGGGGUCUACGCUUUCUCGUCCUGUCCUGCCACCCAAGUAAAGUCAUUCACAAGUGGCCCUAGUCUGGUUUGGGGGUCUAUGCUUUCUCAUCCUGUCCUGCCACCCAAGUAAAGUUAUUCACAAGUGGCUCCAGUCUGGUUUGGGGGUCUACGCUUUCUCAUCCUGUCCUGCCAUUCAAGUAAAGUGCUGUGAGGAAAAACACAGAAACAUGGUCAGCCAACGACGCGGUGGUCACUAAGCACGCAAUCAGGUGGUUCAACGAGGAGACCUGUCCUGCCUCCAUCCACACCAAACGGAUUAAUAGGAGAAAUAAACAUUAAACAAUC